AUGAGUUUUUUGAGUUGGAACUAUCGCGGGCUUGGGAACCCAGCGGCAGUUCGUGAGCUUCGCAAUGUUGUGAAGCAGGAAAGCCCCAGUCUCCUUUUUAUUAUGGAGACGAAGAUUUCAGCAAGUCGGAUAGAGAGUUUGAAGAACCAACUGGGUUUCACAGGUUGUUUUGCGGUGAAUAGCAAGGGUCUGAGUGGGGGAAUUGGCAUGUUUUGGUCAGCUGAAGUUGAAGUUGAGUUGAAAAACUUUAGCUCGAGCCAUAUUGAUGUGUUGGUUAGGAAGAAUACUCGAAACUCUAUGGAGUGGAGAGUCAUGGGUUUUUAUGGUGCUCCGCGUGUUGAGGGAUAG
rnacentral:rRNA from 1 species